rnacentral:rRNA from 1 species
GAUGAACGCUAGCGAUAGGCUUAACACAUGCAAGUCGAGGGACCGGCGCACGGGUGCGUAACGCGUAUGCAACUUGCCUCACAGAGGGGGAUAACACGUCGAAAGACGGACUAAUACCGCGUACUGUGAGAUAGGCUUGCGUCCGAUUAGCUAGUUGGUGAGGUAACGUCUCACCAAGGCGACGAUGGGUAGGGGAACUGAGAAGUUGAACCCCCUGACUGGUACUGGGACCCGGACCACACUCCUACGGGAGGCAGCAGUGACUAAGAUUGGUCGAUGAGCGCGAGCCUGAACCUUCCACGUCGCGUGAAGUAUGACUGUCGUGGGAUUGUAAUCUUCUUUUAUACGGAAAUAUGUACCGUAUGAAUAAGCACCGGCUAACUCCGUGCCAGCAGCCGCGGUAAUAC